UUGAUUUUUUCAUCUUGGCUAGCAUUUUCGGAGUCCCGUGAAGCUUGCAUUGUUCUGGUUCUUCGAAGUGUUGUUCGGCCUCUUGAACAAGUUGGUGGUGUUACUUUUAGAGUUCCGGCUCAAGGUGUUGAUAAUUCGAAGAAGUCAGAUGACAUCGAUGGUUCAACUGAGGAUCAGUAUUAGAGUCUAUGGAGAAGAUUAGCACUGAUUUGUGGUUGGGUAUCUUAUGUUACUAGUGUUGGUGUUAGAGACUAAUUAUUUUCUUAAGUUGCAUCAAUGGAUUUAGACGGUUUAUGGAGAUUUA